rnacentral:snoRNA from 1 species
AUGCCCAGUGAUUAUAAAAAGACGCGUUAUUCUGAGGAACCCAACCUGCUGUCAGUCUGUCUUCUGCUCUCCGCUCCGUCUCCAUCUCCUCUCAUCUUCCUCUACCUCCACCUCCUCAUCCUCACUUUGGCAGCAGGUCCACUGACUGCGAUUAUGAGAUAUGAGGGCAU